AACGAACGCUGGCGGCAGGCUUAACACAUGCAAGUCGAACGCCCCGCAAGGGGAGUGGCAGACGGGUGAGUAACACGUGGGAACAUGCCCAAAGGUACGGAACAACUCCGGGAAACUGGA
rnacentral:rRNA from 1 species